AGAGUGAACGCUAGCGGCGCGCCUAACACAUGCAAGUCGAGUGGGUUUAGACCCACGGCAAACGGCUGCGUAACACGUUGGAACCUUCCCCGAACUCAGGGAUAUCCCUCCGAAAGGAGGAGUAAUACCGGAUGCCCUCGCAAGAGGAAAGAUUUAUCGGUUCGGGAGGGGCCUGCGGCCUAUCAGUUAGUUGGUGAGGUAACGGCUCACCAAGACGAUGACGGGUAGCUGGUCUGAGAGGACGACCAGCCAGAAUGGAACUGCGACACGGUCCAUACUCCUACGGGAGGCAGCAGUGAGGAAUCUUCCGCAAUGGACGAAAGUCUGACGGAGCGACGCCGCGUGGUGGAUGAAGGCCUUAAACUGGUCGUAAACACCUGUUCUGAGGACGAAAUUUUUGACGGUACCUCAGGAGAAAGUAUCGGCAAACCCUGUGCCAGCAGCCGC
rnacentral:rRNA from 1 species